rnacentral:rRNA from 1 species
AGUGAACGCUGGCGGUAGGCCUAAUACAUGCAAGUCGAGCGGCAGCACAGGAAGAGCUUUCUCUUACUGUUGGCGAGUGGCGGGCGGGUAAGACAUACAUCGGAAUCUACUUUUUCUUGGGUGACAUCGGGGGGAAACUGACGCUAAUGCCUCAUACUACCUACGGCUUAAAUCAAGAGUUCUUCGGACCUUUCCCGAUAGAAUUAGCUGAUGUCGGAUUAGCUAGUUGGCUGGGUAAAGGCCCACCAAGGCGACGAUCCGUAGCUGGUCUGAGAGGAUGAUCAGCCACACUGGAACUGAGACACGGUCCAGACUCCUACGGGAGGCAGCAGUGGGGAAUCUUGCACAAUGGGCGCAAGCCUGAUGCAGCAAUACCGCGUGAGUGAAGAAGGUCUUCGGGUUGUAAAACCCUUUUGUUAGGAAAGAAAAGAAGCAGGAUAAUCCCCCGCUGUUCUGACGGUACCCAAAGAGUAAGCCACGGCUAACUUCGUG